rnacentral:rRNA from 1 species
AGUUUGAUCCUGGCUCAGGACGAACGCUGGCGGCGUGCCUAACACAUGCAAGUCGAGCGAGGUCCAUUCGGUAGCAAUACCGAUGAAGACCUAGCGGCGAACGGGUGAGUAACACGUGAGAAACCUGCCCCAAAGUCUGGGAUAACCCGGGGAAACCCGAGCUAAUACCGGAUACCUUCUUUUGAUCGCAUGGUCAGCUGAAGAAAGUUUUUUCGCUUUGGGAGGGUCUCGCGGCCUAUCAGUUUGUUGGUGGGGUAACGGCCUACCAAGACAUCGACGGGUAGCUGGUCUGAGAGGACGAUCAGCCACACUGGGACUGAGACACGGCCCAGACUCCCACGGGAGGCAGCAGUGGGGAAUCUUGCGCAAUGGGCGAAAGCCUGACGCAGCAACGCCGCGUGCGGGAUGACGGCCUUCGGGUUGUAAACCGCUUUCAGCAGGGACGAAAUUGACGGUACCUGCAGAAGAAGCCCCGGCCAACUACGUGCCAGCAGCCGCGGUAACACGUAGGGGGCGAGCGUUGUCCGGAUUUAUUGGGCGUAAAGAGCUCGUAGGCGGCUUUGUCAGUCGGGUGUGAAACCUCCAGGCUCAACCUGGAGCCGCCACCCGAUACUGCAAUAGCUAGAGUCCGGUAGGGGAGCAUGGAACUCCUGGUGUAGCGGUGAAAUGCGCAG